rnacentral:lncRNA from 1 species
AAUGUCUUUCAGUCAGUAGAGCAUCAAUGGAACUAAUAUAGAAGCUUGGAUGUUUUGCUUUCAGGUCAAUUGGCUGCAAUCUGGCUUCACUCAACUUCUCCCUACGUGUCGAGAUCAGAUAUUCUCUCUAAAUACGCUCAGUAGAACAAGUCGUGUUUUUGCAUCUAAAUGCACACUGAUGAAUACACCUGCAUAAAAGAUUAAUUACAAAUCUGUAAGCCGUGGGAUAGAUAUGUGGAUAGAUAUGUA